rnacentral:rRNA from 1 species
AUUGAACGCUGGCGGCGUGCUUAACACAUGCAAGUCGAUCGGUAACGCGGGGGCAACCCUGGCGGCGAGAGGCGGACGGGUGAGGAACGCUUGGGAAUCUGCCUAUCAGCGGGGGACAACACGGGGAAACUCGUGCUAAUACCGCAUACGCUCUACGGAGGAAAGCCGGGGACCGCAAGGCCUGGCACUGAUAGAUGAGCCCAAGCCGGAUUAGCUAGUUGGCGGGGUAACGGCCCACCAAGGCGACGAUCCGUAGCUGAUCUGAGAGGACGAUCAGCCACACUGGGACUGCGACACGGCCCAGACUCCUACGGGAGGCAGCAGUGGGGAAUAUUGGACAAUGGGGGAAACCCUGAUUCAGCGACGCCGCGUGGGUGAAGAAGGCCUGCGGGUUGUAAAGCCCUUUCGGUAGGGACGAAAGCUCUCGACCUAACACGUCGGGAGGUUGACUUAACCUACAGAAGAAGCACCGGCUAACUCUGUGCCAGCCGCCGCAGUAAAAC